AGUACCUCUGUGCUGACGCUCUAGGGGCAGAGGGUGAGAGAGCAUCCCUGGCAAAGAGAGGCAACAAGAAGACUGGAAGUAAGUCAUGGACCUUGUCAAAGGCGUGUGAGAUUCUGAUAAGCCAGGGGACCUCUUCAGUGUGGAGAGGGCCCAGAAGCACAGGCUGAGGACAGAGAAUUUCUUAGGCUCAAAGAUGUGCUAUUCCUGCAGAGAUCAGCCAUAACACAACGAAGCAAGAGUCCCUGCUGAGAGGCAGCUCAGUCCCUAAAAUAGGGACAGGAUUGCCUUCACAGGCACAGUGACUUACAGAGUAGAAGCUGGAAGGGGGUGGCUCUUUGCUCUAGUCUCAGGCACAAAUAUUUAGGAAAAGCAAAGCCAAACAGCCAAGAUUAGCUAAGAAAAAGCCUCCUUAACCCACGGCAUUUCCUAAACCAAUCGCCUCUUUGCUCUCAGCAUCCCUACCACCCUCCCAGACAAUAUUUCCACUAGUGACUCACUGGGUUCUGGAAGACUUUCAGGUUUAAAGUGUGUUCCUCACCAAAAAGGUCUUCCUAGGUACUUAAGGAAUGCUAGGUACCCUGCAAAGAAGAUAAGGAUUAUCCCUGUUCUCGAGAUGAAGGCAACCACAAGGCUACAAACCACAGCAAAUUUAUUAUUCAAUAUCCAGCACUGAAUCACAGCACCAGUCUGGUCCCCCUCCCCACUUACCCCCAAGAAGGGCACCCAAAAUAAUGGAAUCAAAUGUCAACCCA